UGUAGGAGUGAGCCUGCUCGCGAUCGCGUCAGCACAUCGGACAUUGAAGUGACUGGUAUACCGCAUCGCGAGCAGGCUCACUCCUACA
rnacentral:misc_RNA from 1 species